rnacentral:rRNA from 1 species
UAAAACCAGCACCUCAAGUGGUCAGGAUGAUUAUUGGGCCUAAAGCAUCCGUAGCCUGCCCUGUAAGUUUUCGGUUAAAUCUGUAUGCUCAACAUACAGGCCGCCGGGAAUACUGCAGGGCUAGGGAGUGGGAGAGGUAGACGGUACUCGGGAGGAAGUGGUAAAAUGCUUUGAUCUCUCGAUGACCACCUGUGGCGAAGGCGGUCUACCAGAACACGUCCGACAGUGAGGGAUGAAAGCUGGGGGAGCAAACCGGAUUAGAUACCCGGGUAGUCCCAGCCGUAAACUAUGCAAACUCAGUGAUGCAUUGGCUUGUGGCCAAUGCAGUGUUGCAGGGAAGCCGUUAAGUUUGCCGCCUGGGAAGUACGUACGCAAGUAUG